rnacentral:rRNA from 1 species
UGAGGAAUAUUGGUCAAUGGGCGGGAGCCUGAACCAGCCAAGUCGCGUGAGGGAAGACGGUCCUAUGGAUUGUAAACCUCUUUUGUCGGGGAGCAAGAAAGGGUAUGCAUACCCUACUGAGAGUACCCGAAGAAAAAGCAUCGGCUAACUCCGUGCC